AGUGAACGCUGGCGGUAGGCCUAACACAUGCAAGUCGAACGGCAGCACAGUAAGAGCUUGCUCUUACGGGUGGCGAGUGGCGGACGGGUGAGGAAUACAUCGGAAUCUACUUUUUCGUGGGGGAUAACGUAGGGAAACUUACGCUAAUACCGCAUACGACCUACGGGUGAAAGCAGGGGAUCUUCGGACCUUGCGCGAUUGAAUGAGCCGAUGUCGGAUUAGCUAGUUGGCGGGGUAAAGGCCCACCAUGGCGACGAUCCGUAGCUGGUCUGAGAGGAUGAUCGGCCACACUGGAACUGAGACACGGUCCAGACUCCUACGGGAGGCAGCAGUGGGGAAUAUUGGACAAUGGGCGCAAGCCUGAUCCAGCCAUACCGCGUGGGUGAAGAAGGCCUUCGGGUUGUAAAGCCCUUUUGUUGGGAAAGAAAAGCAGCAGGUUAAUACCCCGCUGUUCUGACGGUACCCAAAGAAUAAGCACCGGCUAACUUCGUG
rnacentral:rRNA from 1 species